AUGAAGACCUUUAUCAUCCUUGCCCUCCUUGCUAUUGUGGCGACCACCGCCACAACUGCAGUUACAGUUCCAGUGCCACAAUUGCAGCCACAAAAUCCAUCUCAGCAACAACCACAAAAGCAAGUUCCAUUGGUGCAACAACAACAAUUUCUAGGGCAGCAACAACCAUUUCCACCACAACAGCCAUAUCCGCAGCCGCAACCAUUUCCAUCACAACAACCAUAUCCACAGCCACAACCAUUUCUGCCACAACUACCAUAUCCGCGUCCGCAACCAUUUCUACCACAACAACCAUAUCCACAACCGGAACCACAGUAUCCGCAACCACAACAACCAAUUUCGCAACAGCAGCAGCAGCAACAACAACAACAACAACAAAUCCUUCAACAAAUUUUGCAACAACAACUGAUUCCAUGCAGGGAUGUCAUCUUGCAACAACACAACAUAGCGCAUGCAAGCUCACAAGUUUUGCAACAAAGUACUUACCAGUUGUUGCAACAAUUGUGUUGUCAGCAGCUGUGGCAGAUCCCCGAGCAGUCGCGGUGCCAAGCCAUCCAGAAUGUUGUUCAUGCUAUUAUUCUGCAUCAACAACAACAACGACAACAACAACAACAACAACAACAACAACAACAACAACAACAACAACAACAACAACAACAACAACAACAACAACAACAACAACAACAGCAGCAACAACCGUCGAGCCAGGUCUCCUUCCAACAGCCUCAGCAACAAUAUCCAUCAGGCCAGGGCUCCUUCCAGCCAUCUCAGCAAAACCCACAGGCCCAGAGCUCUGUCCAACAUCAACAACUACCCCAAUUUGAGGAAAUAAGGAACCUAGCACUGCAGACGCUACCAGCAGUGUGCAAUGUCUACAUCCCUCCAUAUUGCUCGACCACCAUUGCGCCAUUUGGCAUCUUCGGUACUAACUGA
rnacentral:rRNA from 1 species